rnacentral:rRNA from 1 species
AUGGAGUAUUUGACUGUGACCUUGCUCCAUACCUGUACAGUUCAGUUCCUAUGGAAAUACAAUUUGUUUCUACCACAGGAGGUCCAGAAUUUCAGUGUCUAUGUCAUAUAUACCAACAGAUGCGCAUACGCAGCCAUGCGUGUUGAUUUUCUUAGAAGAUCUGCAGUGCUACUUCUGGCCUGCUCAUCAAAAGGGUCAUCUCAUCACCUAUUGUGUUACUGUUCAUGUUGGAUUCUUUUCAGCCUUCAUGAUACUGUAAAUGCAACUGGAGUCACAGUGAGUGACCAAAGAACUGAAGAUACGACAAACUUCUAA